AAAUGAAAUCAGCUGAUUCGUUGGAUGGGGGCGGGUUCAAAUACGGGUGGAAGCCAUCUUGGACGUUUGCUUGACUCUGACGAGACUCGUUGGUAGUUAGCUAAAGAUUGCUCACAAAUACCGCAUACGGCACCGGCUAUUUCAAUAGCUCAAGGUUUGGACAGCCCCGAGGAAGGACACAGCGGCCCAGUUUAGCUAAUCAAGAUGGCUAGCUGAACAGUCGGCCAAUGCUUGAACGCUAGCGAAGCCCUCUUGGAGUAUUAUUUUCCAGAUAACGUUGACAAAAUAAAUCUAUGCUAAGCCCUAAUUUAAUUUCCAUGCAUAGAAGUCUUAUAAAAAACGAGAAGAGGAAUUUGUUUCUGGACACUUGAUGUCACAAAAGACAUUGUUGAAGAGUAAAGGAUUUAGUAUUUACCUUUAGUUGAUUAAGAUUUAAAAAGGCGAGGGCAGUUUUUACGUUUUGAGUGGACUCACUUCAUCUGGAAACUGUUAAAGGUUUCAUUGCUAUUGGAAUAAAGUUGAGCCAAGUCAACAUGAGCACCGCCAGGACGGAGAACCCAGUGAUUCUGGGCUUGCCCAACCAGAAUGGACAGCUUAGAGGCUCAGUGAAGCCUGCUGGAGCACCAGGUGGAGGUGGAGGAGGGCCGCAGCAGCUUAACCAGAUGAAAGGCACAAUCAACAAUGGAAACUCCCAGCCAGCCCCUACAACAAAUGCUGUCAUCAAGCCUGGAGAUGACUGGAAGAAAAAUUUGAAAUUGCCCCCAAAGGACAUGAGGAUGAAAACUUCGGAUGUGACUGCAACUAAAGGCAAUGAGUUUGAAGAUUAUUGCCUAAAGAGGGAGCUGCUUAUGGGAAUCUUUGAGAUGGGCUGGGAAAAGCCAUCUCCAAUCCAGGAGGAGAGCAUCCCCAUUGCACUGUCAGGAAGAGAUAUUUUGGCCAGAGCCAAGAAUGGCACGGGAAAGAGUGGAGCCUACCUCAUUCCCUUACUUGAACGCAUUGACCUGAAGAAGGACUGCAUACAAGCUUUGGUCAUAGUGCCCACCAGAGAACUGGCUCUGCAAGUAAGCCAAAUAUGUAUCCAGGUCAGCAAACACAUGGGUGGUGUGAAGGUCAUGGCAACCACAGGUGGAACCAAUCUCCGUGAUGACAUCAUGAGGCUUGAUGAAACUGUACAUGUGGUCAUUGCCACACCUGGAAGGAUUUUAGACCUCAUCAAGAAAGGAGUGGCCAAAGUUGGUCAAGUGCAGAUGAUUGUUCUAGAUGAAGCUGACAAGCUCCUGUCUCAGGACUUUGUGGUCAUGAUGGAGGAGAUCCUGGGCUUUUUGCCCAAGCAGAGGCAGAUUUUGCUUUAUUCUGCAACCUUCCCUCUCAGCGUGCAGAAGUUCAUGAAUUCGCACUUGCAGAAACCCUAUGAAAUCAACCUAAUGGAGGAGCUUACACUGAAGGGUGUGACUCAGUAUUAUGCUUAUGUAACUGAAAGGCAAAAAGUCCAUUGCCUCAACACCUUGUUUUCCAGGCUCCAGAUCAACCAGUCCAUAAUCUUCUGCAACUCGUCUCAGAGAGUGGAACUCCUUGCCAAGAAGAUCUCCCAGCUUGGUUAUUCAUGUUUCUACAUUCAUGCAAAGAUGAGACAGGAACAUCGUAACCGUGUAUUCCACGACUUCAGAAAUGGCCUGUGCCGGAAUCUAGUCUGCACUGACCUCUUCACAAGAGGAAUUGACAUUCAAGCUGUGAAUGUUGUGAUCAAUUUUGAUUUUCCUAAGCUGGGAGAAACGUACCUUCAUCGCAUCGGUAGAUCUGGCCGCUUUGGACACCUGGGUCUAGCUAUCAACCUCAUCACAUACGACGAUCGCUUCAACCUGAAAGGGAUUGAGGAACAGCUUGGAACAGAAAUAAAGCCCAUCCCUGGCAUCAUUGACAAGAGCCUAUACGUGGCAGAGUACCACAGUGAGAGUGGCGAAGAAGUCAAGCCAUGAGCCAAAGUUGGAUAUCUGCUAAUGACACCUGAGCUGAUACAUUUACACAGAGACCGGUCCAUCCUCCACUCCCCUCUGUAUUCUCCUUCAUCCCCCACAUCUUUGGAUUUUUUUUCUUUUUUUUUUAAAUGUACAGUUGCUGUAUGUCUUCCUUUUUUGGAUGCCACCAUUAGGAAUGCGUGCUUUGAUUGAAUGUGUUUUUGGAAGAACUCAUCUGCCUUUUUAAGGCUCUUUGCUGCACCACCACACCCUGAAGACAUGGGCACCACGAGGAAAGAAUGGGACCAAGUCAGAAACGUUAUCAGUGCACAUUGUGAUGAUUCAUAUCCACCACUGACACAAAGCCAGCACCAACAGAGCGAUAGGACACCCUCCAUUCUCCACUUUUAAGUUCGGAAGUUUUAUCCAAUUUAUAUCAAGUGCCUUAAACAGUUCAGCUCGUUCUAAAGUAAUAACCCCUCAUUAUCGGUCAUCUCUCUCCACUCCAUGCCACAUGUUUCUGUUCACCUAAUUGAAAAUUUGUUACACUAAUUUAAUGUCUGAUAAAAUAGGUGAAUUCAUGCCUGUCUUUGGUUGGGUCAUCCAUUCGCAGCGACUGGAGAUGAUUGGAGGCAGACUGGUCUGAAUUAUCUUUUUGCUGGCUAAGCUGAACUUGAGUCUGGCUGAUAAAUGAGGACAAACUUGGAUUUCCAUGGACAGAGAUGCUGGAUUUUUUGUUUUUUGUUUUUCCCUUUCUCCAAGAUGCAGCCAGACUGUCAGUCAUUGGUGAAAAAACUUGUGCUUCUGAGAGACCCAAACUCUUUCCUCUGUCUUCAGCAUCAGAACACUAAAAAUGAAUAAGCAGCCUUGCAACACCAUGAGACAUGAGGAUUCCUGUUUUGGUGGAGUUUAUUUGGAGCGAAUGCCUGACAUGUAUUUUUUUUUUAUUUUUUCUCUCCCUCCUUUCUUCUUCUUUGGUCGGUCUUUUGUCGUCCUGUGUUUCACCUUCCUAUGGAUGGCCAUACUUAAUUCUGUGAGACGUGCAGCCGGCGUUUGGGGUGCACCUUACACUUUGUGUAUAUACCUUCAUUUUAAGAUUGUUUUAAACAAGUUGAAAAGGCUGCCUGACAAACUGAAAAGCCAUCCGCCCCUUCCCUCUUGUUAGCACUGGAGAUGGUUUCCCGAACUGCCAGUUUGUUUGAUCUGCAAUAUUGGCCUGUGAAUUUAUUUAUAAUUUUAGAAAUUGCAGAAUUUAUCAGAAUCGAAAACAUUUAAAUGGCGUAGUUCAUAAAAUGUUUUUAGAGACAGUUAUUGCUGAAAAUCUUUUUAGCCCAUCCAUAUUUGUUGGAAUGUUUCUUCAAAGAUGCACUUAACUGUUUAAAUUGUUGCCCUUGUUCUUUUGCUUCCAGUGUUAACAAGUGCGAGUCUUGACAGAUGGCUUUCCGAAGCUUGUGCAUUUGAGUAAUGAAUUCUUUGUCGCCAGCCUUGACUUGCGAAACUCUUGAAACACUCUUAAGAUCUCUUAUACUGAGUGCUGGUGUUGGAAAAGAAAAUAUUCUAUUACUUACUACUCGCUGCAGUGCAGCUGAAUUGGCAGAUAAUUUGUUUUGUGGCGAUGGUAUUAGCUGUUACGUUGAUUUAUGCCCCAUUUAAGCACAGCUACAUUACUUCCUAAUAUUGAGGGACGGGCAGGAAGUCCCCCCCCCCCCCCUUCUGCAGAACGUUGGCCGACUGCAUCAAAACGAACCAUCUGAAAUCUAAAAUGUAGCAGGAACAAAUUCUGUGCUUUGCAAGUUGGCUGGCUUUUGUAAAACCAGCUAACAAAAGAUACUUUAAAAACUAACAUGCGCAAGUUGAUCAGCACUUAAAACACAGAUGGUUCAUGCAGCUACACUUACUGCACUACUUUUUACACACUAGAUGUCCACUUGGGAGUAAAGUGCAUGCUAGUGCAGGGAGGGGGAAUGAACAAGAUGGGUUAGAAAAUUACUUUUUGUCAGACUGCUUGUUUAAGACAUAACUUGGGCAUCCCAGCCUGCUGAGUUUAUGGCUAAUUUCUCUGCCCUAUAUUGCUUUAUGUUUUGGGUUUUGGGGCUUUACCUCUGCAUUUUAUAUGCAACGUUGACAACCUUAAAUUUGCAUUGAGGUCCUCUGAUCACUUUGUUCAGCUGAAACCUUUCUGUAACUGAGGUGUUCCCUUUAAUAUGGCGAGAUGCUCUCUUAACUGUUUUAACCAAUGGGAAGUAUUGCUCAUUUAAUUUCAGCUCAUUUCAAAAGAUAAGUGUAGCAGAGAUGAUUAGUUACCCGUGUAUUUCUCAUUGGUUAGACUCUGAUCCCUGUUCUCACACUUCUGCUGUUGUCCCAGAAAUACUUGCACAUCUAAACUGAUAAUUAGGCUGUUUGUUUUUUGGGGGGUGGGGGGAAUUUUUCUUAAAGUCAAAAUUAAAUUUGAGCAUUAGUGGAGUCGACAGGGAUCUGUUUGUGCAGGCACUUGGCAGCUGUCUGUUUCUUAUCAGCCCACUGGCAGUAAUUGACGCAGCAAAAUGCUUUGAGGCUAAAAUUGACGACCCUUCGAGGUUCAGCGUAUGGCUGCCUUCAUGUGGGAGCUAGCUUUACUGCCAGUGGCUGUCAUGGAGAACCUUAACGACUGAGACAAGAGCAUCUUUCCCCAGAUUGGGCAUCUAAUUGGUUACUAAAAUUGUCUCUUUCGUUAAGGUCUUUUUUUUUUUUUUUCUUUUUUUAAAUUUGGGAGGAGGUUGAAUUGGUGCGCCUGCUGCCCUGAUGCAUAAGUUCGUCCUCUUGAUUGUUGUGACACAUUAAUAACACAGCUUUUGUGUACAAUUUGGCCAUCCCAUCUCUCGACUGUCAAGAGAAAACGAUAGGAGUCCUUUUUAGGAUUUCUUUCUGAAUUGAUGCAUCAGUAAAAUAUGUGGGGUGGGGCCUGUGGGUACUUCAGAAACAGGAUAUCUAAAGAUCCAAAGUUUAGGUAAUGGGUACGAAAAGGUUUGAAAGAGUUACCCCGCUUUUUUCUUUUCAAAAUGAAAUGUUCAAUGGAGUACACUUUUCAUUAAAAAGGCUCCAAAUUUCAGUGAAAUUCUUUAUUUUGAAUUUGGUUGCUUAAUUGGCAGAUUUUUCAGUGAUGCAAGAUGUCAUGAAUAUUACUGGAUUGGAUUAAAAGUUGUGUUCAAUAAAGCUCACUGAAAUUUA